GAUGAACGCUAGCGGCAGGCUUAACACAUGCAAGUCGAGGGGUAUAGGGAGCUUGCUUCCUAGAGACCGGCGCACGGGUGCGUAACGCGUAUGCAAUCUACCUUUUGCAGAGGAUAGCCCAGAGAAAUUUGGAUUAAUACCUCAUAGUAUAGUACUUUGGCAUCAAGGAACUAUUAAAGUCACAACGGCAAAAGAUGAGCAUGCGUCCCAUUAGCUAGUUGGUAAGGUAACGGCUUACCAAGGCUACGAUGGGUAGGGGUCCUGAGAGGGAGAUCCCCCACACUGGUACUGAGACACGGACCAGACUCCUACGGGAGGCAGCAGUGAGGAAUAUUGGACAAUGGGCGCAAGCCUGAUCCAGCCAUGCCGCGUGCAGGAUGACGGUCCUAUGGAUUGUAAACUGCUUUUGUACAGGAAGAAACACUACUUCGUGAAGUAGCUUGACGGUACUGUAAGAAUAAGGAUCGGCUAACUCCGUGCCAG
rnacentral:rRNA from 1 species